rnacentral:rRNA from 1 species
UUGACCUCGAAUCAGGUAGGAAUACCCGCUGAACUUAAGCAUAUCAAUAAGCGGAGGAAAAGAAACCAACCGGGAUUACCUCAGUAACGGCGAGUGAAGCGGUAACAGCUCAAAUUUGAAAUCUGGCUCUUGCGGAGUCCGAGUUGUAAUUUGUAGAAGAUGCUUUGGGUUGUGGGUUCGGCCUAAGUUCCUUGGAACAGGACGUCAUAGAGGGUGAGAAUCCCGUAUGUGGCCGAGGCCCGCGCCUAUGUAAAGCUCUUUCAACGAGUCGAGUUGUUUGGGAAUGCAGCUCAAAAUGGGUGGUAAAUUUCAUCUAAAGCUAAAUAUGGGCCAGAGACCGAUAGCGCACAAGUAGAGUGAUCGAAAGAUGAAAAGCACUUUGGAAAGAGAGUUAAACAGUACGUGAAAUUGUUGAAAGGGAAGCGCUUGCAACCAGACUUGGGCGCUGCCGAUCACCUUGAGUUUUCUCGAGUGCACUCGACAGCGCACAGGCCAGCAUCGGUUCGGGUGGCUGGAGAAAGGCCGUAGGAAUGUGGCUCUCUUCGGGGAGUGUUAUAGCCUACGGUGCCAUGCAGCCCAGCCGGACCGAGGACCGCGCCUUCGGGCUAGGAUGCUGGCGUAAUGGUUGUAAGCGACCCGUCUUGAAACACGGACCAAGGAGUCUAACAUCUAUGCGAGUGUUUGGGUGGUAAACCCAUACGCGGAAUGAAAGUGAACGUAGGUGAGAACCCCUUUGGGGCGCAUCAUCGACCGAUCCUGAUGUCUU